rnacentral:lncRNA from 1 species
CCACACUUGACUGUUACCAGCUCCCGGUCCCCCUGAACCCUCCUCUACCUCUUGCCUGCUACCCCGUCGUCGUCAUCGGAAAAAUGUAAUAUCGAUUACCUCCACAACCUCGGGGUGGUGGUGGUGGUACUUUGUAUCCGGCCACGGCCCCCCUCAUUACAGUACCGAUGAUACCGAUGAUACCGAUGAUACCGAUGAUACCGAUGAUACCGAUGAUACCGAUGAUACCGAUAAUACCGAUAAUACCGAUGAUACCGAUAAUACCGAUGAUACCGAUAAUACCGAUGAUACCGAUAAUACCGAUGAUACCGAUAAUACCGAUGAUACCGAUAAUACCGAUAAUACCGAUAAUACCGAUGAUACCGAUGAUACCGAUGAUACCGAUAAUACCGAUGAUACCGAUAAUACCGAUGAUACCGAUGAUACCGAUGAUACCGAUGAUACCGAUGAUACCGAUGAUACCGAUAAUACCGAUGAUACCGAUAAUACCGAUAAUACCGAUAAUACCGAUAAUACCGAUGAUACCGAUGAUACCGAUGAUACCGAUGAUACCGAUAAUACCGAUGAUACCGAUAAUACCGAUAAUACCGAUGAUACCGAUAAUACCGAUGAUACCGAUAAUACCGAUGAUACCGAUAAUACCGAUGAUACCGAUGAUACCGAUGAUACCGAUAAUACCGAUGAUACCGAUGAUA